GAGAGCAUAACUCAGUGGUAGAGUAGUUGACUUUUAAUCAAUCUGUCGAAGGUUCGAGCCCUUCUGUUCUCC
rfam:Trichosporon asahii var. asahii CBS 8904 mitochondrion, complete sequence, whole genome shotgun sequence.